AAAAAAUAAUCUGAGCAUUUUAUCUUUCUCUGAAGGAGGAAGUGAACCAAGGACAGGUCAUCAUAUUUCUCCCAGGCAAAAGAGUUUCUUCGGCAGUAAGCCACGUAAUGUCCAAGAGAUUCCCUUGUUGGUCCUGGAAUGAAUGCAACAACCCCUCGCAAAGUGAACAACUGAUUGUCCAGCUCCAUGUCGACAGGGAUUUCAGACAGUGGAUGCUAUCUGGACACUCUUGGGGUGAUUUCAGUGGCUUCAGACACUUGGACCUGUUGAGGUGUAGCCCAUCUUCCAGUGCUGCUUGGAGGCUUUUCAGUCCACCAGUUUGUAGAAUAUCUACGUUCACUGGUAGGAGAUAGAUGGUCCUUGAAGAUUUUGUAUUUCGGCUGCAGUAUGGAGAAGAGCACUCAGCUUUUUCGAGUGCUCUUUGUCGAGAUAAUGACAGAAUGAUCCACUGUCACAGAAUGCAGAGCAAAGGCACUGGCAAAAGGAAUCAAAGGCACAGGUUUAUGUCUGCAUGCAACCACUCAGAGCAAGGGGUCAGGUAGGACAGUCGCUUUUUUGGAGGAACACCGAGGCCUUUCCAGUUUUCAACAGGGUCUUCCUCUACUAAUUGUUGCUUAACCUCUGUGUCCUGCUCACUAUGGGCAGUUUUUGUCUUCUGAUUCUUUGUCUCAAUGUCCUCUGUCUUCACCGGUGCAGAGGAAAGCCUCAUGUUUCCCUCAAGAAACUCAAGGUGGCGUAUGACAAAACGGUCAAUUUGGAUGGGGAGGCUUUCAUGUUUGAAAAGACCAUGUUUUAUGUUUUUAAAUUCAGCCUCAACAUUUGCAGAGGUUGCUGUGUUGUGUAUGCUUUUGAAGUGCGGAACCAUCACAGCUGUCCAAAGGGAUCUGUGUGUAGUGUCUCCUCAACUCCUGUCACCUCUGUUAAAUGGUCGUCUUCAGUGACACAUGGCAAGACCCCCUCUGCAAAUCGUCUUUUCAAUUGUGCUUUGCAUGUUUCCGAGACAACAGG